UUCUUCUAGUUUUGUUUUUGGUUUUUCCAGUUUUAUAUCCAAAUCUGAAUUCUACUUCUUAUCAGCUAUGUAAUCUUGGGCAAGAUCUCCUUCACUAGUAAAACAGGAAUAAUAGUUGCUCUCUUACUGGGUUGCUGGUAUGAUUAGAUAAGGCAGUACAGUAAAGCACUUGCCAUAGUGCGUGGCCAUUACAAGUCUAGAAUAUAUUUUAGCUAAUAUCCAUAAUUAAUACCAUCUCUUAAAUCUUUAAUCAACUAUAAUUAAUUUUGGUGCAGAAAAGGAGGUAAUCAUCUAAUUAUUUUUCCUUCAAUAGUUCCUCUAUCUUUGCAACAAUUCUGUGAGGCAAUCCAAUUUUAAAGAUAAAAGACACUUACUCUUAGAAAAAAAAAUUAAAGGAAUCAUUUAUUGCUAUUUCUCUAGCACCUCUAGUGGUCCCACCUUUAAAAUUCCACUGACCAAAUGUAAUGGUGGUAUACUCACACGUGACAGAAAGAAGGGUGUGUGUGAAUGUGUGUGUAUGUGUAGGGGGGGUCAUGAUGAGGAGAGGAAGAAGGAACAGUAUCAUUAAUUAUUAUCUGGGCCAGAAUACGCCAACCCAUGUUGUCCAGUGGAGGAAAAAUAUUUACCAUUUUUUUAAUAACAUUAAGAUAUCUCAGAAGGGUAGAGGGAAAAAAACAACUAAAUAAAUCAUAUCAAUAAAACUGAAUGCAAACAGACUCUAUAGAGCUCUCCUUAUUUUUUUAUUCUGGUGCCUUUGUAGCUCUACGAAUCCCUGGCUGGGGUUAUACUUAAUCAAUUCUUUGGUUUGCUGACUUUCAGCCACCACUGGUAAAACAAAUGAUUUUUUGAAAAAAGUGAAGACUGUCAACCAAAGCCUAAAAAUGCCCUGUAGACUCUAUACGGUCUUCUGUCCUCCUCAGCAUAACCAGUUUUCCAUGAAACAUGAACAGUGGCUACACUUCACUCUGUGAUGGACAGAAAAUAUUAACCAUCAAAGACCCUUAUACAGUCUAUUAAGGAGAGUCUGGUUUAGCCAAAAGACUGAAGGUGUUUUUGUUUGUUUCUUUUUACUUUGUUCCUUUUUAUUUUUUAAACACAGCAGUCCCUUUUUUCGGCAUAGAAAAAAAGCAAUUUGUCAACUGCUUUUAGAAGCUUAGUUCACACACACACACACACACACACACACACACACACACACACAGAGCUAUUUAUCCUGGAGAGUGGGAAUCAGGGAAUCCAUAAAAGAUGCACUAUCCCUACCCUAAAUGUUUCCCGACUCCAGUUCACACUCAAAUGGGACGAAGUGCCACUUGUCUAGGGAAAUACGUACCAGCCCAGAAGGGAAACGGAAGGGCAAGCUCAGAAGUCCUGAGGGGAGCAAGAGGACCUAUGAGAAUCUGUUUCUAUCCCAGACAAACCACACAAAGGCACAACACAGUCCAACCCAAGAGCCUGUGACUUUUCCGCAGGACCCCUGCCAGAGGGGAGAUGGCCACUCUACAGAAGUCAGCUCCACGUGCCUGGCACGGGGAACCCACAGGGUCUCACUUGUUCAUAACCAUGACCAAGAUGCCAAUUUCCUCUGUGGGGUUUAUGAUUAGACUCCUAUAGCUGUGUGGACAAGUCUUAAAACCCAGGCAUGCCCAAAGCAACCACAACACAAUGUCAGAACAGUAGAGAAGGUUCCUGUAUGGAAUUUCUGCAAGCAAAGUCACAGACCUGACCCACCCAACCCUGAGUCACACAUGAUAGAGCUCUCUGAAAAGCUAACACCCUGAGUCUCCACACUAGUGCGUAACCUGUCCCUCCUGGGAAUAGCAGCAAUGGCCUCAAAGCUACCAGGCGUGUGCAUUGGGAGCUCAGUAACCAAGCGGGCCUCUCACUGUUGUGGCCUCUCCUGUUGCGGAGCACAGGCUCCGGAUGCACAGGCUCAGAGGCCAUGGCUCACGGGCCCAGCUGCUCCGCAGCAUAUGGCAUCCUCCCGGACCGGGACACAAACCCGAGUCCCCCGCAUCGGCAGGCGGACUCUCAACCACUGCGCCACCAGGGAAGCCCCUGAUUUAUGUUUAUGUAGAUGUGAAGCGUCACAAAAAAAGAAGAGUUACGCUUCAUUCAACUUGGAGAAGCGGGACUGAAAUUGAAAGGAGAGCCUCUGUGAUCAGAACUGUCUUCAUCACUGCUAUUUGCAAAAGCAUCUCUGCCAGCGCUAACUCCAGCCUGUAUUUGAGCAUAUCUGCUCCUGGGCAUCAAAGAAGGGACACCAGCCAGAAUGAUCAUUCUUAUUACUGGUGGUGAUAUUAUCUAGUUCUCCGCUUACCCAAUCUGUGAAUUGGGACAUUUUAUUUCAUCUCUCUGAGCCUCAUUUCAUCAUCAAUAAAAUAGAAACAGUAACCAAACAGGUUUGUUCUGACCCAAGCAUUAAUUCCCAGAAUGAAAUAAUGUAUGAAAGUGCUUUGUAAAUGUAGAGGACCAUUCGCAUCUUAUAUCAUUACCAACAUUAAUUGUUCGCUCACGGUUUAAGUUUUACAUUAGAAUGCCAAUUUGUCUUCUCAAAAGCAGAGGUGUUUCACACGGGUUAUUGUGAUAGAUACAAUUCAGGAUUUUGGCACACCUGGCCAGCAUGCAUGCCAAAUUCCAUAUCAGUGCUUACCUUGGGAGGUUUCCUGAAUGAUGGAAACAAAACAUUCAGCAGCAGAAGUAGAGCGGGUUGUCAACACAGCAGCCACACGUCAGAAGGAAGCAAUGAAAGAGAAAAAAAACAAGGGAAACUCAGCAUCUUGAUUACGUGAUCUGAAAGAUAUUCUACUUCACAAAGAUCUGGAGCCAUAUUCACUUCACUGCCUGAGGUGAUAAACUUUUAUAUUUGUUCAAAAAUAUAGUGUGGGCCUCAGUUUCUUUCCUGGUUUAAUAGAAUGUAUCCAGUCAUUAAGAGGUAUUUUUAAUGAUUCUUAAAAAGCCAACAAAAAGAGCAUCAGAAUAAAGAAAGAUGCGGCAAUCAUACUGCAUGUGGUCAAAUACUUCAAAAUCAAUUUUCACAUUUAAAUUUUUGUUAAAUUCGCCUUAAUAUAUAUGUAUAUUUCCUUUGAAAAAUAAUAAAUAUGGGAUUUUUUCCCAAUUAAAAACCAUGGUUUAGAUGACAAUUUUCACAUAUUUCAACCCUGAAUAAAAAUUUAAAAGCAAGUUAUAUCCUUCCUUAUCACCAACAACACACGCAUCCUUUAUCAUUCUUUUUUUUUUUGUGGUACGCGGGCCUCUCACUGCUGUGGUCUCUCCCGUUGCGGAGCACAGGCUCCGGACGCGCAGGCCCAGCGGCCAUGGCUCACGGGCCCAGCCGCUCCGCGGCAUGUGGGAUCCUCCCGGACCGGGGCACGAA